UACCUUUAUUUUUUUGCUGAAGUUCCUCUCAUUCCUUUUCUUUAUGUACCUGUGGAUCUUUUCCUUCCUCUGUUCAGCUGAAAGACGCACAACUUUGAAGGUGGAAUCUUCUAUUCCUGAGAUUUCUGUUGGAGGUUCCGGAUGUUACCUGCAUCUCUGCAGUGUUGUUGUAGACCCCCUUCAUGGAAUCUGUAUCGCUAUAUGUUCUGGGCAGCAUCCAGGCUCAUGUACCCUCUGGCUAGUGCUGCCGUGAGGCACUCUUCAUCACACCCUGGAGCAAGAGGCAUCGAGAGAGGUGCAGUGCUGCUCAUUUGGAUCGCCAGCAAGGGUUCAGCUAUACUCUGGGGAAGCUGUGAUUGGCCGAAUUGCUCUAUGCUGGCCUCUCCAUUUGCAGCUUGAUAGUAUCCUGGUGCUGCAAGUGUCUCGUUGAUUGGGGGAAUGAGCUUGGUAUCAGGGCAAGCAUUUUGCUCUUCCUCGAGGAGGGCUGAGAGAGUGGAGGAGUCAAAGCAGGGUAACGGGGAGAAGGGCAUUUCUGGGAUGUCAUCGCUGUAGCUGCAGAGAGGAGGGGUGGCAGUGGAGGAGGAUGAAACAUCCUCAGAGGAGGCAGCAAAUGGGCCGGAGGUAGAGGUCACUGCGGCAAGGAGGUUAUCACCCAGACCGUUAUCGCAGAAAUCAAGUAUGUGAGCAGCUAUGGGGCUUGAGAUCCCCUCCUGUAAAUUUCGAAGUUAUUCACCUAAGAUGGCCAUUGAGUUAUCACCCAAGGAACAAGCAUCGACAAGGUACCAGGAAGAUGACAUCAUGAAACAUUUUCAGAGCAAUUGAAAAUGCUUGGUUUUUGUCCUGGAGCAUGUUUCUACAUACGAAAAAGAAUUAAGCAAGAUCUGUGUCUGAGAAUCAAUUACGGUGAUGCAAUCGUCGUCGGGGAGCAUAGUCGGUCCUCAACAGCAACGACCGGAUUCUCUCGGCGCUGCAAACUUGUUGGAGCAAAUUCCUUGGAGCUGUUCUGUUGGUUCCCCAGAGGAGAGAUGGUUCCGGACGGAGCUGUGAAAGAUGUAAUCGCGAUACGACGAGGAAGAUGGGUUAUGGCCUUGCGGGAAGAGGAGGAAAGAAGAAGCCUGUUUCUCCAUGCAGAUGCAGAAAUGACCUUUUAUAGGGUGGCGUCCAUGCAAAUCAGACGACGGGAAUUUCUGUGCUGCAGAUGCUAUUCUUGCGCAGGGUGUCUUAUUUCUGCAUCAACGGCUGGGAUGAUGAAAUGGAAGCGCGAUCGCUUAAUCCUGUGAUUAUCUGGAUUGAUCUGGAAGUAUCCUAUUCUGUCGGUUGUGUCAUGCACGGACGGAUGAGUGAUCAAAGAUAUAUACCGGCGAACAAAGUGCAAGAUACGCCGUGGACGUCCUGUCUAUGCAUAGUGGGAGCGUAGUUUGGCUACUGUCUGACAUGUCAUGGAUUGUAGAUGUGCACCUACUGCUUGGACUGUCGAAACUUUGGAAGAGGCUUUACCAGGCAAGAAAAGGACGUCAGGUCAUGGCUAGAGCUGUGGGUGCCUAAAGGAAGGAACUUAUUCCCAUGUUUCCAAUCUGGAAUGCAGAAUCUUCAGCAAGUGGUACUAUGGCAAUUCUCGAGGUACGUACGUUUGAUUGCUUCGUCCUUAUAAACAAGCAUCAGAAUUUUCAAGUAAUGGAUAAAAAAAAAUCAAGAAGCCAAACAAGCGUUUCAUCUUUCAUGGUACGUAGAAUAUAUAUAAUGUGCUCAAUUUCAUUCUAUUGAGUUCUCGUUGAAGACACGUUCCGUUAGCGAUGCAAAAAAAUUAUAAGUAAGAUUUGAACGAAGCAAAGUAAGCAACGCAAGCGAGAUGCAUCGUCUAUCUCCUUGCAUAUAUAUGGAAGCAUUCAGCGGAUGAGCAAAUUAAGGUUGAAGAGGCCGGGCUUGUGUACUUACAA